rnacentral:rRNA from 1 species
UACGGAGGGUGCGAGCGUUGUCCGGAAUCACUGGGCGUAAAGGGCGCGUAGGUGGCGUCGCAAGUCAACGGUGAAAGCUCGGCGCUCAACGCCGAGUCGGCCGUCGAAACUGCGAGGCUGGAGCACUGUAGAGGCAGAUGGAAUUCCGGGUGUAGCGGUGGAAUGCGUAGAGAUUAGGAAGAACACCAGUGGCGAAGGCGACUUACUGGACUGUAACUGACGCUGAGGCAUGAAAGCGUGGGGAGCAAACAGG